UAUGAUCCAGAGUACCACGGGACACGUGAAACCCUGUGGGAAGCAGGAGGGACCACCCUCCAAGGCUAAAUACUACCUAGUGACCGAUAGCGUAUAGUACCGUGAGGGAAAGGUGAAAAGAACCCCGGGAGGGGAGUGAAAUAGAACCUGAAACCCUGCACUUACAAGCUGUGGAAGCACAUUUCUUGUGUGACCGCGUACU
rnacentral:rRNA from 1 species